rnacentral:rRNA from 1 species
CACGUAGGUGGCAUCGUAAGUCAAAGGUGAAAGCCCUCGGCUCAACCGAGGAAUUGCCUUUGAAACUGCCUUGCUUGAGUCCGGGAGGGGGGAGCGGAAUUCCCAGUGUAGCGGUGAAAUGCGUAGAUACUGGGAGGAACACCGGUGGCGAAGGCGGCUCCCUGGACCGGUACUGACACUGAGGUGCGAAAGCGUGGGGAGCAAACA